rnacentral:tRNA from 1 species
AGAAACUUAGGUUAAACAACCCGGGAGCCUUCAAAGCCCCAAACAAGAGUCCCCACCCUCCUAGCUUUAG